rnacentral:misc_RNA from 1 species
GAAAUGCGAUAAGUAGUGUGAAUUGCAGAAUUCAGUGAAUCAUCGAAUCUUUGAACGCACAUUGCGCCCUAUGGUAUUCCGUAGGGCAUGCCUGUUCGAGCGUCAUUUACACCUUCAAGCCUUGCUUGGUGUUGGGUGACUGUGGCCCCUUUGGGGCCACUCGCCUUAAAGUCAUUGGCGGCCGGUUCGUUGGCUUUGUAGCGCAGCACAAUUGCGUUCUCGAAGCCGCUGGACCAGCUCCCAGAAGCUAAUUUUAAAUGUUUGACCUCGAAUCAGGUAGGGAUACCCGCUGAACUUAAGC